rnacentral:rRNA from 1 species
CGGGGUGCACCAGGCGCGAAAACUUUACAAUGCGGGAAACCGUGAUAAGGGGACACCGAGUGCCAGCAUCAUAUGCUGGCUGUCCAGGUGUGUAAAAUACACCUGUUAGCAAGGGCCGGGCAAGACCGGUGCCAGCCGCCGCGGUAACACCGGCGGCCCGAGUGGUGAUCGUGAUUAUUGGGUCUAAAGGGUCCGUAGCCGGUUUGGUCAGUCCUCCGGGAAAUCUGACGGCUCAACCGUUAGGCUUUCGGGGGAUACUGCCAGGCUUGGAACCGGGAGAGGUAAGAGGUACUACAGGGGUAGGAGUGAAAUCUUGUAAUCCCUGUGGGACCACCUGUGGCGAAGGCGUCUUACCAGAACGGGUUCGACGGUGAGGGACGAAAGCUGGGGGCACGAACCGGAUUAGAUACCCGGGUAGUCCCAGCCGUAAACGAUGCUCGCUAGGUGUCAGGCAUGGCGCGACCGUGUCUGGUGCCGCAGGGAAGCCGUGAAGCGAGCCACCUGGGAAGUACGGCCGCAAGGCUGAAACUUAAAGGAAUUGGCGGGGGAGCACAAGGGCGAUUCGC